rnacentral:misc_RNA from 1 species
UUUUUUUGGUGUGAAAAUUGCUUGGCUAUAGUUGGUUUUCAAGGCCUGUGUUGGGGGUCCUAUAUAUGAAUAUAUAUAGGAGAAAUAUGCUAGCUAUUUAGGUUCAUAUACUAAAAUUGAUUCAGGGUGAUGCAAUAUAUAAAUGAGAAUCAGCUAAUGAGUAGCAAACUCCAAGGCGAAAAGAGCCAAGGCUAGUCUAUGGAGGGUUGGGUUGGUGGAUGUGUAGGCAAAGGGACUUUUUGAAGGAGGAAGAAGG